AGAAGGGGAAGUGGGGGAAGCAAGAGGUUCGGAGUGGAGAGCCAGAGGGCAGCGAGGUAAUUUCCCGAAUUACCUACCAGAGUGUCACAGAUUUGAUACUGGAACAUGAGCAGAGUCUGCACAGAGGAGGAGAGCAUAGGUCCACAGUGGGUGAGUAAUCAGUGCGUGUGUGCGGAAACCAGGAAUAGCCUCGCCUCUGGAAAUACGGAAGCACAAAGCGCACACGCUCACCGAGGAAGAGAAGUAGAGAAAGAUGGAGCAAGAAGAGCAGGGAAUAAAUAGAAAAGAAGAUGACAUUGAUAAAAGAAGAAAUUGGAGACAAGAAGCAUGUGGUUUCCUUACGUACAUUAUGUAACUGCCAGCGUUGUUUUAAAAUUCACUAACCAAGAUCAGUGUCUGUAGUUCAGUACUCAGUGAA